AACCUUUAUUUUUAAGAGUGUAAGCAGUGGUUGAUAUAUAUGUAAUUGAGUUUUUUGAUCCAAGAUAAACUGAGCUGAGAAUGCAGGCACCAAAACUGCAUUGUAACCCAAUUUUUUCCCUGAUUACUGUCACACUGAAAUCACCCAAUUCUAUGUUAGCUGUCAAAACCACCUUGUAAACUGUAACGUGCAGUGCUCUCAGUUUUAUUUUCCUGUCAUCAUCAAACAGCGAAACUAAAGUUUGAUUCUAUCUGCACCCCUCCGCCCCACCCCUUAUUUUGUGUUGUGGUGUUGAAGUGGCUGAGGGGGUGGGGGUUUGUUAUUGUUCAGACUUCUCAUACGAGAAAUGUCUAUAAAUACACGCAGUGCUUCCUCUUGGUGAACAGAACGCCCCAUCUCUGGGAAGUGGAGGCUGCUGGACAUGAGAGUGCCACAUCCUGUUGAAGCAGCCCUGUAAAUGAAACUAGAAUCAUCAUCACUGGAUUUACCAAGGUACUGAAAGUCUUAAUGGAAAGUCUCAAGGGCUAUCCAUCAGUUCUCGUUCCGUGGAUACAGGGCAGAAGUCAGUACAGGAGAUCAAUGACACGUCACUGCGCUGUCACUAUAGGCGCCUGGCACACAGCCAUGACACAAGAUGGCUGGCAGCCUGAAUCAACUGAGAGAGUGAGAGGGACCUGUAUGGAUAACAGAUAAGUAUCUUGCGUGAGAAUCCUCGGGAGAUGAGACGAGGUGGGAAAGAGCGAGAGAAGAGCUGAGCGUGCAGUGACGCUAAGAAUGCUGCAUGAAUCUUUUAUUAUCCCCUAGCCCAGUUAAUGAGGUGGUGCUUCUUUAAUAAUUAGCGGGGAGACUGAGGCGUAUUUCCAUAGCAGAGCCUAAGGAUGCAGAGGGCAUCGGGGACGGUACGAAGAAUGUGGGACGCAUCAGAGACGAGCUGGAAACUACACGCUGAACUGCAAAAGAAAGAUACACACGUGUGUUUUCAGAUGUGUGUGUGCAGAAGUGUGCUUAUAUGUGUGCUUGGGAAAUAAGCAAUUCCGUUUAGAACCCUGAGGAUCUAAGGGGGUGUUUACACUUGGUCUAACUAUACAAUUGGGAUAAGACCCAGUGUAAAUGCAAACCUAGAUGCCUCAGGAGGUGGUUUGAGAGACAACCAGAUGCAUUUACACUUGUGAUGACUCAGUCAUCUGGCUGGUCAGGCCACAUAUGUAAACUUUACUCCUCCCAAAUGGAAAUAUGUCAACAUAAGGAUGUCUAAGUGCCUCACAAUUACAGUGAGUAAUCAUGAAUGAGACGCACGGAUGGAGAAACCACAAAAAUAAAACACUAAUUGAGGCUAAGAUAGUGUUCAACAGAAAAUGUCAUACCGGCAUUAAUUUUAAAGGUGCCAUAGAAUGCAUUGAUACAGUAUUUUAAAUUGUUCUCUGAUAUCUACAUAGAAGGUAUGUGGCUUAGGUAAGGGCAAAAAAUCUCCAGAAACGAUUUUACAUGUCCAUUUACAACCCUAGGAUUUCUCCCUAGAAUGAAACGCUCUGUUAUUGGCUUAUUUGGCAGGGUCAUGAAUAAUAAUCAUUUCACAGUGCUGCUUAAUGUUGAGCUCUGCUCUGAUUGGCUGUUUCACAGUGCGGCUCAAUUCAAUAACUCACAGCAAGAAGGAAACACAGGGAGGAAAAUUCUCUCGCAGUUAUAUCAUCGGGUAAUUAUACUGUAUAUAAAAUGCGGGCAUCAGGGAGCCGUUAUUAAUACACGAGGCAUUGAAACAGCUUUUGAACGAUCGAUCGAUCGCGUUAUAGUUCCACUUUCAAGAUAUGCGAUAGCACGAACUAUGUUUAUACUAUGGAGCGGCAGUACAUACUACACAUUUUACAAGAUCAGAUGCUUUUCAGUGGUGCUCAGGAUCUGUAAAUCAUUCGCCAUCAUCCUCAGUCAUCUCUCCUUACUCUGUUUAUGUGGUAAGUGAAAUCUUAUGUACUGCAAUGUAACAGGCUGCAGCUAGCAAGGAGUCCCCAUGUCCCUUUAGUGGCUGGCGUUAUUUUAGUAGAACGCGUUAUUUGCUUUCCGUGCCUUUCUGAAUACAGACACCAACCCAUCCCUGCACUUCACAUCCCCUGCACAGCCUGGAACAUAACAUUUAUUUCCAUGGUCUGCCAUUUUCGCUGUUGUCCGUGCUUGUUUAUUUACAAUACCUGCAGAACUUCUGAUGGUUCGGCUGGCGGCUGGCCUAGAACAAGGGCGGGUUUAUGCAAAUAUUGGGGGCGUAACUAUUAGUGAUCCCGACUGUUGCGUAACAGUCGGUGUUAUGUUCUGAUUUGCCUGUUUUUCAGUGGUCUUUUUUUAUUCACAAGAUUUACAUAAGAAGGAGGAAACUAUGGUGUUUGAGGCUCACGUUAUGUCAUUGAAAAAAGUGAACUCCAUUAUAUUUGCAUAUAGCGCUGGAAAAGUAGAAAAAUUUAUGUUGAAUCACAUAACAUAAUACACAUAACUAACUGGACAACAAGCCGAUCGAUCAAGACACACAAAAUUGUUAAAUAGGCCUUUUGAAGUGUUCACAAGUUGGAUAGUAAUAUUAUUAAGUUAAAUUAAAAAUUUAAAAAGAAAGAAAAAGUUAAAUAAAAUUAAAUGUAAAGUGCAAAAUAACAUAACAAAUGUAAUUAAAAAAUGUAAAAUAAGAUAAAAUAACAAAACUUUUAGGGUCAAAUGGCUCAAAAGAGUGAAUAAUCCCAUGUAUAAAUAAAAUACCUAUAACCAACUGGACAGCAAUCCAUUCGAUUGAGACACACAAAAUGAUCAAACGAGCCUAAUUCAGAAGUUGCAAGGUGCUCUUUCAAGCUGAAACUGCAUAUUAAGGAUUUGUGGAAAAUAAAAUAAAAAAUAAUUCAAUUCAAUAAAAAUUAAAUUAAAUAGAAAUUAAAUCUGAAAAAUAAAAUUGUGAAUAAUAUUUACAAUAAAAUAAAAUGUAAAAUAAUAACAUUGAAAAAAAAAAAAGUAAAAAAAAAAAAAAAAGAAAUAUAUUUAAGCUUUAAUGACAUCUGGCACCUUAUUACUUGCACUUAUUCAUGCACAAGUUGUAAGAAUGUACGAUCCCUUUACUGUUUCACUAAAACACACAACAUACAAAAGAACAAGCCAAGAGCCACAUUCUUGACACCCAACCCCAUUACCCUCCCCCAUUAAUAUACACCCCUCCCCCACCAGAGCACACCGGCCUGCGUUCACACACACAGACUCUCAGGGGCGGGCUGGCUGUGCUGCUUGCCCUCGAUGUGUGUGUGUGCAAGGUGGAGAGGGGGGAUGUUUCUCUUUAGACAGCUAAUUGACUCACAGAUGUCAGGAUGAGCCGACAGAGGGGUGGCAGUGCAACACACACACAGUCAAAACGGUCUGCAAACAAAUCUGUUAUGGCCACGUCAAAGGCCUAGCUCUUCUGGUAUAAAUAAAUCCAAGGCACAAACAGAGUUAGCAGAGCAAGAGCACACGACCGCUAGCCAGUCAGUCCUCGUACACGCACGUGCAUGCAGACCAAAACACACAAACAGACACGCAACACCUCGUGAGACCCAUUCACUGCUGCCAACAAACCAACCCCUGCUGUAACUCAACCUGAGCUGGUGUUUUGAACAGCACACCAGUAUUGUGCUCUAUUAUGAAGAGACUUGUGUAUAAUCUAUAAUGAAGGGUUCCCCAUGUAAAAGUCACUUUCAUUUUCUUGAGAGAAAAAAAUCGAAAGACAUAGUGAUGACAUAUAAAACUUUCAAGACAACCAUGCGGGUUUUUAAAGGCCCUGGGGUUUUUUAAUCAUUACCUAAAUAAAUAAAUCAAAAAAUGUUUGUCUGUCUGUGUAUGCAUCUAUUAUAAUAAUAAAAUAUUAAAUACUACACAUACAGUGGGGGCCAAAAUUAUUAGAACACUAUUUUCACCAGCUAAAAAAAUGUUUUUAAGUCACAUAUUUCUAUCUUUUGCUGUAGUGUGUCAGUAGGAAAUAUCAGUUUACAUUUCCAAACAUUAAUUUUGCCAUUAAUUGUAAUAAUCCAGAGAGAUUUUUGUUUGCACAAGCAG